rnacentral:rRNA from 1 species
AGAGUUUGAUCAUGGCUCAGAUUGAACGCUGGCGGCAUGCCUUACACAUGCAAGUCGAACGGUAACAGGUCUUCGGAUGCUGACGAGUGGCGAACGGGUGAGUAAUACAUCGGAACGUGCCCGAUCGUGGGGGAUAACGGAGCGAAAGCUUUGCUAAUACCGCAUACGAUCUACGGAUGAAAGCGGGGGAUCUUCGGACCUCGCGCGGACGGAGCGGCCGAUGGCAGAUUAGGUAGUUGGUGGGAUAAAAGCUUACCAAGCCGACGAUCUGUAGCUGGUCUGAGAGGAUGAUCAGCCACACUGGGACUGAGACACGGCCCAGACUCCUACGGGAGGCAGCAGUGGGGAAUUUUGGACAAUGGGGGCAACCCUGAUCCAGCCAUGCCGCGUGCAGGAUGAAGGCCUUCGGGUUGUAAACUGCUUUUGUACGGAACGAAAAGACUCUGGUUAAUACCUGGGGUCCAUGACGGUACCGUAAGAAUAAGCACCGGCUAACUACGUGCCAGCAGCCGCGGUAAUACGUAGGGUGCAAGCGUUAAUCGGAAUUACUGGGCGUAAAGCGUGCGCAGGCGGUGAUGUAAGACAGAGGUGAAAUCCCCAGGCUCAACCUGGGAACUGCCUUUGUGACUGCAUCGCUGGAGUGCGGCAGAGGGGGAUGGAAUUCCGCGUGUAGCAGUGAAAUGCGUAGAUAUGCGGAGGAACACCGAUGGCGAAGGCAAUCCCCUGGGCCUGCACUGACGCUCAUGCACGAAAGC